rnacentral:lncRNA from 1 species
UUGGUGUGAAGAAGGUCCUGUGUUCGAAUCUUAUCAUGGGCAUUAUUUUUACUCGUGCGUCCAGAAGAAUUUGAGACGGACUAAAAUUCUGAGUAGUGGAUUUAGUGAGGAGUUUGAUGGAGAGAAAUAAGGGAUUGGGGUGGUUAUCAAAUAUAUUCUAUUCAUCUUUUUUUUCUUUUUCUUUUUUUACUUUCUCCAAAAUCUCUCCACCCUCUUGUUGUUUUUCUCUUCAUUGUUGUCAAAUUUCUGCUCUCUUUCACCCUUCAUCUUCUUGAUUUUUCUUUUCCCACUCUACCUCGUGUCGCUCCACUUUUGUCAACAAUCGUUCAGUAAGUUUU